AUUGAACGCUGGCGGCAGGCCUAACACAUGCAAGUCGAACGAGUGGCGGACGGGUGAGUAAUGUCUGGGAAACUGCCUGAUGGAGGGGGAUAACUACUGGAAACGGUAGCUAAUACCGCAUACCAUCGGAUGUGCCCAGAUGGGAUUAGCUAGUAGGUGGGGUAAAGGCUCACCUAGGCGACGAUCCCUAGCUGGUCUGAGAGGGUGACCAGCCACACUGGAACUGAGACACGUUCCAGGUCCCGACGGGAGGCAGCAGUGGGGAAUAUGGCACAAGGGUGGGAAGCCUGAUGCAGCCAUGCGGCGUGUAUGAAGAAGGCCUUCGGGUUGUAAAGUACUUUCAGCGGGGAGGCGUUACCCGCAGAAGAAGCACCGGCUAACUCCGUGCCAGCAGCCGCGGUAAUUC
rnacentral:rRNA from 1 species